rnacentral:rRNA from 1 species
GAGGCAGCAUUGGGGAAUAUUGCACAAUGGGCGCAAGCCUGAUGCAGCAAUGCCGUGUGAGUGAAGACGGCCUUAGGGUUGUAAAACUCUUUCGCCAGGGAAGAUAAUGACUGUACCUGGUAAAGAAGCCCCGGCUAACUCCGUGCCAGCAGCCGCGGUAAUACGGAGGGAGCUAGCGUUGUUNGGAAUUACUGGGCGUAAAGAGUUCGUAGGCGGACAGACAAGUUGGGGGUGAAAUCCCGGGGCUUAACCCCGGAACUGCCUUCAAAACUGUCUGUCUUGAGACCGGAAGAGGUAAGGGGAAUACCUAGUGUAGAGGUGAAAUUCGUAGAUAUUAGGUGGAACACCAGUGGCGAAG